AUGAGUACGACACUUGGCUUAAGUCAGCAACAAUUUGUUGUAUACUACCAACUGCUUUUAUGGCUGUUACAAUGUACUGUGUGCUUUUCUUAUUUGCAUUCGCAAUGCCAAGAUUUUAUGCAUACAUCAGUUGUAAUAUUAUAUGUACCUUGGGCUUGCUAAAUUGCUAAUGUGUGGCUGUAAAAAAGGGGAAGCGCCAUUUAAAACAAUUAAAACGAUAUAAGUAUCUACUAAAACUGUAGAAUUCUGGCCCAGUUAACCAGUUGGUUUCUAAAAAGCAACAACGACAACGACAAUACAUAAAAUGCAAAUUAACAA